rnacentral:rRNA from 1 species
AUUGAACGCUGGCGGCAUGCCUUACACAUGCAAGUCGAACGGUAACAGGUCUUCGGAUGCUGACGAGUGGCGAACGGGUGAGUAAUACAUCGGAACGUGCCUAGUAGUGGGGGACAACUACUCGAAAGAGUGGCUAAUACCGCAUGAGGUCUACGGAUGAAAGCAGGGGAUCGCAAGACCUUGUGCUACUAGAGCGGCCGAUGGCAGAUUAGGUAGUUGGUGGGAUAAAAGCUUACCAAGCCGACGAUCUGUCGCUGGUCUGAGAGGACGAUCAGCCACACUGGGACUGAGACACGGCCCAGACUCCUACGGGAGGCAGCAGUGGGGAAUUUUGGACAAUGGGCGCAAGCCUGAUCCAGCAAUGCCGCGUGCAGGAUGAAGGCCUUCGGGUUGUAAACUGCUUUUGUACGGAACGAAAAGCCCUGGGUUAAUACCCUGGGGUCAUGACGGUACCGUAAGAAUAAGCACCGGCUAACUACGUGCCAGCAGCCGCAGUAACAC